UACGGGGGGGGCAAGCGUUGUUCGGAAUUACUGGGCGUAAAGGGCUCGUAGGCGGCCAACUAAGUCAGACGUGAAAUCCCUCGGCUUAACCGGGGAACUGCGUCUGAUACUGGAUGGCUGGAGUUUGGGAGAGGGAUGCGGAAUUCCAGGUGUAGCGGUGAAAUGCGUAGAUAUCUGGAGGAACACCGGUGGCGAAGGCGGCAUCCUGGACCAACACUGACGCUGAGUGAGCGAAAGCCAGGGGAGCAAACGGG
rnacentral:rRNA from 1 species